GGGUCCGUGACUGAAUUAAAGUAUAUAACUAUGCGCAAGCCUUAUUUUAGUAUUAUUUUUUAUCUGAUAAAGUCAUGCCGAUUAUAAGAUACACAGUUUUCUCUGCUUUCAAAUAUUUCUGUUUGAACCCGUCGAACUGGAACUUAUCAAUCAUUGGUAAUAUUAAUUAUUUGGAUAACAAAAGGUCCUGGAAUGGAGUAUUUUUUAAUCAACA
rnacentral:lncRNA from 1 species